UGCUUCCCGGGUCAUGUGAUGUGGGGGGGGGGCGGGAGGUGAAGGGUCAGGAGGCGAGCGCGGGGCCUUGGCGGUGGCUGGAGCUGAGGAGGAGCAGCGGCUGGUAGUCAGGAAGGCCCUGUCCCCGACCCCGCGAAGCCCCGCCAUGCCGAGACGCUUCACCACGCCGCUCAGCCCGCUCGGAGCGAGAGGGAAGGUUUCGCAGUGACUCGCAGACACGAUGGUGGUGUCCCCCAUCGACAAGCCCUCUCCUCCCGGCAUGGUGGCGGACGUGGUUUUCGUUAUCGAGGGGACGGCCAACCUGGGACCCUACUUCGAAUCUCUGCGGAAACAUUACAUCCUUCCCGCUAUUGAGUAUUUUAAUGGUGGGCCUCCGGCAGAGACUGACUUUGGGGGUGAUUAUGGAGGCACUCAGUACAGUUUGGUCGUGUUCAACACUGUGGACUGCGCCCCGGAAUCCUAUGUACAGUGUCACGCGCCCACCAGCAGUGCUUAUGAGUUUGUCACCUGGCUGGACAGCAUUCAGUUUAUGGGCGGCGGAGGGGAGAGCUGCAGUCUGAUUGCAGAGGGGCUCAGCACUGCACUGCAGCUGUUCGACGACUUCAAGAAAAUGCGGGAACAGAUUGGGCAGACACACAAAGUGUGCGUUCUGAUCUGUAACUCCCCGCCCUAUCUCCUCCCCGCUGUGGAAAGCACCACCUAUUCCGGCUUCACCACAGACAACCUGGUACAGAUGAUCGGUGACCGAGGCAUCCUUUUCUCCGUGGUGUCUCCCCGCAAGCUGCCAGCCUUACGGGUGCUGUUUGAGAAAGCGGCGAUGAACGGUGUGGUGGAGACUCAGCUGAAGGAAUACAGUCAGGACCCGCGGCACAUGAUAAUGAUCCGAGGCAUGGUGCUUCCAGGUGGAGGAACAGUCACCAGCAGCAGCCUUCCGCAGAAACCGGCUCCAACGCAGCCCCAGCCACCAGCACAACAACCCAGCGUGCUGCAGACGCAAGUCCAGCCCCCGCUCUCCCAGGCACAGCCCACCCCCCAGCCCCAGAACGUCCCUUUGGUCUCUCAGACUUACCCGGGCCCACCCACCUCGGGGUCCCUGGCGGCGGCUCAGGCCGCAGCCCAGAUCGCCGUAGAAACUGCCUCCAAUCAACUGAAGUCGGCCCCCGUCUCCUCCAACAAUCGCUUCACUGUGAGCAGCCAGAUCCCCCCUGCAGCCAGCGUGGGCGCGAUCUUCAACCCCGCCUCGGUGCCCAGCCUGCCCAAGCUCCCCACCACCACCAACUCCCUGAUGACCCCCACUCCCCCCAGCCUCGUAUCCACGGUUACCACCCCAGCAGGGGUACUAUUACCGCAGCAGCCACCCCAGCAGGCGCCGCAACAGCCGAACCAGCAGCCAAACCAGCCGCCUAUGCUGGGGGUUGGCGGAGGCGGGGGUAACGUGGGCGCUGUGGUCGCGCCCCCCGGCUCAGUCGCCAAUAAGAUCCUCGCCUGGAGCGGAGUUCUGGAGUGGCAGGAGAAACCCAAACCUGCGUCAGUAGAUUUAAACGCAAAGCUGACCCGGUCCCUUCCAUGCCAAGUGUACGUGAAUCCAGGAGAGAACCUAAAGACAGACCAGUGGCCUCAGAAACUUAUCAUGCAACUCAUUCCACAGCAGCUCCUAACCACCCUCGGACAUCUGUUCAGGAAUUCACGGAUGGUUCAGUUCCAAUUUACAAACAAGGAUUUGGAGUCGUUGAAGGGAUUGUAUCGGAUCAUGGCCAACGGCUUUGCGGGUUGUGUGCAUUUCCCCCACAGCGCACCCUGUGAGGUGCGGGUGCUCAUGCUCCUCUACUCCUCCAAGAAGAAGAUCUUCAUGGGUUUGAUCCCCAACGACCAGAGCGGCUUCGUCAACGGCAUCAGGAUGGUCAUCACCAACCACAAGAAGGCGCAACAGCAGAAGAUCGAGCAGCAGAGAAACCAGCAGCUGGGCAACACACAACCGAUGGGCAACUCGUCUCUACCGAACCAGGGCUUUAUGCAGAAGCAGCCGGGACCAAUGCUGGUGUCUCAGGGAGUGCAGCCCCAGCAGGUACAAGGUCCACAAGUGUCAACCUCAAUGCCACAAGUUCACACAGUGACUACCAUGGAUGACCAGCGACAGCAGAAUCUACAGCUGCAGCUUCGAGCUCAGGCUGUAACGCAGCAGCAGCAGCAGCAGCAGCAACAACAACAACAGCAACAACAACAGCAGCAGCAGCAGCAACCCGGAGGCCCACCUCCCAACCAGCCACAAGCCAAUCAGCAGCCAGGAUCCCUGCUCCGUCCACCCAACGCUGGGGCCAACCCCCAACUCCGCAGCCUCCUCCUCAGUCAGCAAACGUCACAGAGUGGAGUGCCGCAGCCUCAACAGCCACUGCACCACAUCCAGCAGCAAGCCUCCCAGAUGAUGUCCAUGGGUCAGCCGAUGCCUCACCACCCUCAGGGCCAGCAGCUGCAGAUGCCCAGCCAACACGUCAUGCACCAAGGCCCCGGGCAGCCCUGGGGCAACCAGAUGGCACAGCGCCCACCUCUGGCAGGCCCGAUGAUGAUGAACGCAGGCCCUCGUGGACCGGUCCCUCAGGGGGGUAUGCAGCAAGGCUCCAGUCUGCUGGAGGAAGAGAUUCUCAUGGAUCUCAUAUAAGGAGCUUCCCGUCCUCGCUGCUUCACGUGCUGUCGGGUUUCUCACCCAGGCCGGGCGAGGCGAGGCGGGCAGCCCAGAGCUCGGAGCCGGCUGGGUUCCGAGGUGUGUGUCUGCGUUUGCGUGCUUGAGCGCGUGAGUGUCAACGUGUACGUGUGUGUCUGUGUGUGUGUGCGGGUGUGUGUCCGUGCGCACGUGUGUGUGUGUGUAUCCAUCACCCAGGGAUUGAACUCCCCACUGACCAUCUCAACCCGCACGUGAUGAACAGCCACUCCGUGUGACGUGACACGAGGGCGUCCGUGAAGCAGACAUCCAGUAGAAACCAUCAAACAAAUAAAAAAUAUAUAUAUAUGUAGGCAAUUCCUUCAGUGGGGGAGAAGGGGAGGAAACUGAGACUGGGCAUACCUUCACCCAUCAAUCAAUCAAUCAAUCAAUCAAUCAAUCAUCAAUCAAAGCCAUUUCUCAUUUCUGCUUGCUUCUCCUUGGCGAAUAUUUUUAUUAUUAUGAUUUUGGCAGCCAGGACAUACAUUUUGCUUAUCUCUCUCUCCUCCCCCCGCCCACCCUCCGUCUCCCACCCCCUGACAAGGCAAGGUUUUAAUGCUGUCGUCGCGAUAAGAGAUUUUUUUUUUGAAUUUGAAUCUGAACAGCAAAUGAAUCGAUCAUGAGCCUUUUUAAUUUCUAAAGGAAAAAAAGAAGGAAAAUUUUGAACUCGUGGGAGAUUUGACAGCGAAAAAAGAAGGCUGUUAUUGUACCUCCUUAUUGUUUGUCGGCAUAGUCAGAUUGUCAGUAGCGCGGUGCUCCGCUUCCCUAUAACCCACACAGACACCCACACAGACACCCACACAGAGACGCAGGCACACAUGCGCACCCAGUAACCGCUGAGCCUGAGACCUUUUCUUCCUCCUCCGCCCCCCCCCAACCCCCACCCCCUUUUGCUGAACCUGGCCCGGUUAGAUACGGGUGUAAAAAUAGUUUUAUUUACAUUUCGUUUGUAGAUUUGCUUCUGUUUGUAAAGUCCGUGCGUGUGGGAUUUCCUUUUCCUUUGGUCCCAUUGAGACACUGUACAGCAGUUAACAGGAAAAUAAAUGCUUUUUACUAAUUUUAGCCUGUGCACUACCCUGGGCGGCGCCUGCCUACGUGUGGGAUUUAUUCAUUGUAUAGCGGAGGUUCCUCCUGUUCAAGAUGAUGGCAAAUAAAUUUAUUCUUAACCCA